rnacentral:rRNA from 1 species
CACGUAGGGCGCGAGCGUUGUCCGGAAUUAUUGGGCGUAAAGAGCUCGUAGGCGGCUCAGCAAGUCGGGUGUGAAAUCCCACGGCUCAACCGUGGAAGUGCACUCGAAACUGCAAGGCUAGAGUCCUGGAGAGGAAGGUGGAAUGCUUGGUGUAGAGGUGAAAUUCGUAGAUAUCAAGCGGAACACCGGUGGCGAAGGCGGCCUUCUGGACAGUGACUGACGCUGAGACGCGAAAGCGUGGGGAGCAAACAGG